UACGUAGGGAGCAAGCGUUGUCCGGAUUCACUGGGUGUAAAGGGCUCGUAGGUGGCCAAUUAAGUCAGACGUGAAAUCCCUCAGCUUAACUGGGGAACUGCGUCUGAUACUGGAUGGCUUGAGUUUGGGAGAGGGAUGCGGAAUUCCAGGUGUAGCGGUGAAAUGCGUAGAUAUCUGGAGGAACACCGGUGGCGAAGGCGGCAUCCUGGACCAACACUGACACUGAUGAGCGAAAGCCAGGGGAGCAAACGGG
rnacentral:rRNA from 1 species